rnacentral:lncRNA from 1 species
UCAAACUUGUACUGCUAGCCAUUACACCCGACACCAUGAAGAAAAAAAAUAUUGACAAAAAACCAAUGUCAUCCACCUACUUCCAUUUCCACAUAUACAAUGGGUAAAGACAGCUACAACUCAACUCGUACUAUUAAGAUGCAGAAAACAAUGCAUGCCAAAGGCCAUCAGCUGCAAUCUGCAUCCACCCUCACCACCCUG